GGCGGAGUAGCUCAGCUGGUUAGAGCAGGGGAAUCAUAAUCCCCGUGUCGGGGGUUCGAGUCCCUCCUCCGCUACCA
rnacentral:tRNA from 1 species